rnacentral:rRNA from 1 species
CAUAUAAGUUUAACGGCCGCAGUAUUUGACUGUGCGAAGGUAGCGUAAUCACUUGUCUUUUAAAUGAAGACCUGUAUGAAUGGCCUGACGAGGGUUAAGCUGUCUCCUUUUUCUAGUCAAUGAAAUUGAUCUUCCCGUGCAGAAGCGGGAAUAUGAACGUAAGACGAGAAGACCCUAUGGAGCUUCAGACAAAAGCCAGACCAGAGAGAGACAAAUGGACUAACAAAUCAACUCAGCUGGUAUCUGCCCUUAUGUCUUUGGUUGGGGCGACCACGGAGGAACAAACAUCCUCCAUGAGGAACAGGGUGUAAACCCUCAAAGCCAGAGUGACAACUCCAGCUAGCAGAACUUCUGACCUAAAAGAUCCGGCAAGACCGAUCAACGGACCGAGUUACCCUAGGGAUAACAGCGCAAUCCCCUUCUAGAGCCCAUAUCGACAAGGGGGUUUACGACCUCGAUGUUGGAUCAGGACAUCCUAAUGGUGCAGCCGCUAUUGAGGGUUCGUUUGUUCAACGAAUUAAAGUCCCUACGUGAUCUGAGUC